rnacentral:rRNA from 1 species
AACGCUAGCGGCAGGCUUAACACAUGCAAGUCGAGGGGUAACAGGGAGUGCUUGCACUCUGCUGACGACCGGCGCACGGGUGCGUAACGCGUAUGCAACCUACCUUCUACAGGGGGAUAGUCCAGAGAAAUUUGGCAUAAUACCCCAUACGAUCAUUUAUUGGCAUCGAUAGAUGAGGAAAACUCCGGUGGUAGAAGAUGGGCAUGCGUCCUAUUAGUUAGUUGGUAAGGUAACGGCUUACCAAGACAUCGAUAGGUAGGGGUCCUGAGAGGGAGAUCCCCCACACUGGUACUGAGACACGGACCAGACUCCUACGGGAGGCAGCAGUGAGGAAUAUUGGACAAUGGAGGCAACUCUGAUCCAGCCAUGCCGCGUGCAGGAAGACGGCCCUACGGGUUGUAAACUGCUUUUAUACAGGAAGAAACGCCGCUACGUGUAGCGGUUUGACGGUACUGUACGAAUAAGGAUCGGCUAACUCCGUGCCAGCAGCCGCGGUAAUACGGAGGAUCCAAGCGUUAUCCGGAAUCAUUGGGUUUAAAGGGUCCGUAGGCGGUUUUUUAAGUCAGAGGUGAAAUCCUGCAGCUCAACUGUAGCACUGCCUUUGAUACUGAAAGACUUGAGUUAUUGUGAAGUAGUUAGAAUGUGUAGUGUAGCGGUGAAAUGCAUAGAUAUUACACAGAAUACCGAUUGCGAAGGCAGAUUACUAACAAUAUACUGACGCUGAGGGACGAAAGCGUGGGUAGCGAACAGGAUUAGAUACCCUGGUAGUCCACGCCGUAAACGAU